CCUCCCAUUUUGGCAUGCCUCUGUUUUGUUUCUCAGCAGAGCAUGAAUGCUUAUGGGAGGUACAUUAAUAGGGGGAACUUAUGCCUUCGGUGUCCACACUCUUGCGUCUGGAUCCCAUCCUCAAAGUUCUCGACAAAA